ensembl:lncRNA
UGCAUCUUAACUACGUCUACCAUAUAAGCAGAACUCAGACCACUACUCGAUGCUGGACCGUUGAACUACUCCAUUCUCGACCAACUCCGCCUGCUCUCUCUGGAUUCUGUCUGAACCUUCAGUCCGUCAUCCACAGUCAACCUGGUAUUUUCCAGAUUCCAUCCCUGGAUCAUCACCACCUGGCCCCUGCACCUGCGCUAGACGCCAUUCCAUCACACUUUCACUCCUGCCCUUUCUGCCUAAAAAACUAGUACAAACCAAGUCUCUGAUUUCCUCUCCAACAACGACUUACAUGACCCAAAUCAGCCUGGUUGUAGCUUGUAUUGCUUCUGUCACACGGCACUUUGGCCUUCACAGCCAAGUUAGACAUUGAAGACAGCUACCCCUGUCACUCUGGAGUCCUCAAGUUUCGCAGUGUGCUGGUGAAUGAAGGAGAUGGCUACAAUCCUGAAACGGGCAUCUUCACCUGCCCUGUGGACGGCCUCUAUUACUUCACUGUGCAUGCGUCUGUAUAUGGCCGUGGACAGUGUGCCAUAUACAAGAAUGGGGAGACAGUGGCUUCUCUGUAUCACACCUCUUUGCCUGACAAAUGUAGCCAAGUGGCCAGUACCAGCAGCGUGGUCAAACUGUCGAAAGAUAAUGAUGUGUGGGUGAACAUUUGGGGUCCUGGUAGAAAUGAUAUUUUUGCAACUGAAGAUAACGACACUGUGUUUACUGGAUUUCGUUUGGGUUGAUGACAUUUGGUGUCAUUAAUCCAAGCCAGCACCACAUGAUUGCUGUUUUUAUGUUAGGUACUUGCAUGUUUUACUGGUUUCUAUCAGUGCGCUUUUGUUGGGGUUUUAUGGUGUUUUCAAGAUGGAUGUGAAAAUUUUGCAGGUUGUUUUCUGACAGAAUAAAGCAAAAAUUAUUAAAACCUUGUCAUUUUGCAUCAAUAAAUGUAAAAAUUUGC